GACGAACGCUGGCGGCGUGCUUAACACAUGCAAGUGGAGCGACGAACCGGGCCUCGGCCCGGGGCAAAGCCGCGAACGGGUGAGUAUCACGUGGGUAACCUGCCCCGAUGACCGGGAUAACCCGAGGAAACUCGGGCUAAUACCGGAUGUCCUCUCAAUCCACCAGGGUUGAGAACAAAGGAAGCUUCGGCCUCCGCAUUGGGAUGGGCCCGCGGCCCAUUAGCUUGUUGGUGAGGUAACGGCUCACCAAGGCGACGAUGGGUAGCUGGUCUGAGAGGACGAUCAGCCACACUGGGACUGAGGCACGGCCCAGACUCCUACGGGAGGCAGCAGUGGGAAAUCUUGCGCAAUGCGCGAAAGCGUGACGCAGCAACGCCGCGUGAGGGAAGAAGGCCUUCGGGUUGUAAACCUCUUUCAGGAGGGACGAAGGUUCAGGCGCGAACAGCGUCCUGGACUGACGGUACCUCCAGAAGAAGCCCCGGCUAACUACGUGCCAGCCGCCGCGGUAAAAC
rnacentral:rRNA from 1 species